CGGGGUGUGGCUCAGUUUGGCUAGAGCGCUUGGUUCGGGACCAAGAGGCCGCAGGUUCAAAUCCUGUCACUCCGACCA
rnacentral:tRNA from 1 species